rnacentral:rRNA from 1 species
UACGUAGGGUGCGAGCGUUGUCCGGAAUUAUUGGGCGUAAAGGGCUCGUAGGCGGUUUGUCGCGUCGGGAGUGAAAACCCAGGGCUUAACCCUGGGCUGGCUUCCGAUACGGGCAGACUAGAGGUAUGCAGGGGAGAACGGAAUUCCUGGUGUAGCGGUGAAAUGCGCAGAUAUCAGGAGGAACACCGGUGGCGAAGGCGGUUCUCUGGGCAUUACCUGACGCUGAGGAGCGAAAGUGUGGGAGCGAACAGG